rnacentral:SRP_RNA from 1 species
GCCAGGUGUGGUGGCGGGCAUCUGUAAUCCCAGCCACUCGGGAGGCUGAGGCAGGAGAAUUGUUUGAACCCGGGGGACGGAAGUUGCAAUGAGCCAAGAUCUCACCAUGGCACUGCAGCCUGGGUGACAGAGUGAGACUCUGUCUCAAAAAGAAAAAGAAAAAAUUUCUUUCGCCCAGGCUGGAGUGCAGUGGCACAAUCUCAGCUCACUGCAACCUCUGCCUCCUGGGUUCAAGUGAGUCUCCUGCCUCAG